GAUUCCCCCAGUAGCGGCGAGCGAACGGGGAGCAGCCCAGAGCCUGAAUCAGUGUGUGUGUUAGUGGAAGCGUCUGGAAAGGCGCGCGAUACAGGGUGACAGCCCCGUACACAAAAAUGCACAUGCUGUGAGCUCGAUGAGUAGGGCGGGACACGUGGUAUCCUGUCUGAAUAUGGGGGGACCAUCCUCCAAGGCUAAAUACUCCUGACUGACCGAUAGUGAACCAGUACCGUGAGGGAAAGGCGAAAAGAACCCCGGCGAGGGGAGUGAAAAAGAACCUGAAACCGUGUACGUACAAGCAGUGGGAGCACAGAGCAAUCUGUGUGACUGCGUACCUUUUGUAUAAUGGGUCAGCGACUUAUAUUCUGUAGCAAGGUUAACCGAAUAGGGGAGCCGAAGGGAAACCGAGUCUUAACUGGGCGUUAAGUUGCAGGGUAUAGACCCGAAACCCGGUGAUCUAGCCAUGGGCAGGUUGAAGGUUGGGUAACACUAACUGGAGGACCGAACCGACUAAUGUUGAAAAAUUAGCGGAUGACUUGUGGCUGGGGGUGAAAGGCCAAUCAAACCGGGAGAUAGCUGGUUCUCCCCGAAAGCUAUUUAGGUAGCGCCUCGUGAAUUCAUCUCCGGGGGUAGAGCACUGUUUCGGCAAGGGGGUCAUCCCGACUUACCAACCCGAUGCAAACUGCGAAUACCGGAGAAUGUUAUCACGGGAGACACACGGCGGGUGCUAACGUCCGUCGUGAAGAGGGAAACAACCCAGACCGCCAGCUAAGGUCCCAAAGUCAUGGUUAAGUGGGAAACGAUGUGGGAAGGCCCAGACAGCCAGGAUGUUGGCUUAGAAGCAGCCAUCAUUUAAAGAAAGCGUAAUAGCUCACUGGUCGAGUCGGCCUGCGCGGAAGAUGUAACGGGGCUAAACCAUGCACCGAAGCUGCGGCAGCGACGCUUAUGCGUUGUUGGGUAGGGGAGCGUUCUGUAAGCCUGUGAAGGUGUACUGUGAGGUAUGCUGGAGGUAUCAGAAGUGCGAAUGCUGACAUAAGUAACGAUAAAGCGGGUGAAAAGCCCGCUCGCCGGAAGACCAAGGGUUCCUGUCCAACGUUAAUCGGGGCAGGGUGAGUCGACCCCUAAGGCGAGGCCGAAAGGCGUAGUCGAUGGGAAACAGGUUAAUAUUCCUGUACUUGGUGUUACUGCGAAGGGGGGACGGAGAAGGCUAUGUUGGCCGGGCGACGGUUGUCCCGGUUUAAGCGUGUAGGCUGGUUUUCCAGGCAAAUCCGGAAAAUCAAGGCUGAGGCGUGAUGACGAGGCACUACGGUGCUGAAGCAACAAAUGCCCUGCUUCCAGGAAAAGCCUCUAAGCAUCAGGUAACAUCAAAUCGUACCCCAAACCGACACAGGUGGUCAGGUAGAGAAUACCAAGGCGCUUGAGAGAACUCGGGUGAAGGAACUAGGCAAAAUGGUGCCGUAACUUCGGGAGAAGGCACGCUGAUAUGUAGGUGAAGUCCCUCGCGGAUGGAGCUGAAAUCAGUCGAAGAUACCAGCUGGCUGCAACUGUUUAUUAAAAACACAGCACUGUGCAAACACGAAAGUGGACGUAUACGGUGUGACGCCUGCCCGGUGCCGGAAGGUUAAUUGAUGGGGUCAGCGCAAGCGAAGCUCUUGAUCGAAGCCCCGGUAAACGGCGGCCGUAACUAUAACGGUCCUAAGGUAGCGAAAUUCCUUGUCGGGUAAGUUCCGACCUGCACGAAUGGCGUAAUGAUGGCCAGGCUGUCUCCACCCGAGACUCAGUGAAAUUGAACUCGCUGUGAAGAUGCAGUGUACCCGCGGCAAGACGGAAAGACCCCGUGAACCUUUACUAUAGCUUGACACUGAACAUUGAGCCUUGAUG
rnacentral:rRNA from 1 species